rnacentral:rRNA from 1 species
UGAGCAAUCUGCCCUUCUCUUUGGAAUAAGCGUUGGAAACGACGUCUAAUGCCGAAUACGACCUCCUUUCGCAUGAUCGGAGGUGGAAAGCUCCGGCGGAGAAGGAUGAGCUCGCGGCCUAUCAGCUAGUUGGUGUGGGUAAUGGCCCACAAGGCGACGACGGGUAGCCGGCCUGAGAGGGUGACCCGGCCACACGUGGGACUGAGACACGGCCCAGACCUCCGUACGGGAGNAGCG